rnacentral:tRNA from 1 species
GCGGGAGUGGCGGAAUUGGCAGACGCGCCGGACUUAGGAUCCGGUGGGUAAAACCGUAAGGGUUCAAAUCCCUUCUCCCGCACCA